rnacentral:ncRNA from 1 species
GGAUAGAGGUCGCGCCUGAUAUCAGUAGCAGCGUGGAUGCCCGCCCGGGCAUGUGAAGCAUUGUGAAAGGAGACGGCGCCGAAAGAGGCAGGAGUGGCAGCCUGCGCUUGGGCAUGCAUUUAAGAGAUGUAUGACUGUCAUCGGGAACAAAAGACCGGAUGGAGAGCUAUCG